UACAGAGGUCCCAAGCGUUGUUCGGAUUCAUUGGGCGUAAAGGGUGCGUAGGCGGCGCAGACAGUCAACGGUGAAAGCUUGGGGCUCAACCCCGAGUCGGCCGUCGAUACUUCUGGGCUUGAGCACUGUAGAGGCAGGUGGAAUUCCGGGUGUAGCGGUGGAAUGCGUAGAGAUCCGGAAGAACACCAGUGGCGAAGGCGGUUGCCUGGGGCUUUGCUGGCGCUGAGGCGCGAAAGCGUGGGGAGCGAUCCGG
rnacentral:rRNA from 1 species